GGAGAGGUGCCGGAGUGGUCGAACGGGGCUGCCUGCUAAGCAGUUAUACCGCAAGGUAUCCAGGGUUCGAAUCCCUGCCUCUCCG
rnacentral:tRNA from 1 species